GACGAACGCUGGCGGCGUGCCUAAUACAUGCAAGUAGAACGCUGAAGCGAGGAGCUUGCUCUUCUUGGAUGAGUUGCGAACGGGUGAGUAACGCGUAGGUAACCUGCCUUGUAGCGGGGGAUAACUAUUGGAAACGAUAGCUAAUACCGCAUAACAAUGGAUGACACAUGUCAUUUAUUUGAAAGGGGCAAUUGCUCCACUACAAGAUGGACCUGCGUUGUAUUAGCUAGUAGGUGAGGUAAUGGCUCACCUAGGCGACGAUACAUAGCCGACCUGAGAGGGUGAUCGGCCACACUGGGACUGAGACACGGCCCAGACUCCUACGGGAGGCAGCAGUAGGGAAUCUUCGGCAAUGGGGGAAACGCUGACCGAGCAACACCGCGUGAGAGAAGGAGGGUUGCAGGUCGUGGAAGUCUGUUAGAAGGCAAGAACGGGGAGGAGAGUGGAAAGGUCACACAGUGACGGUAGCUUACCAGAAAGGGACGGCUAACUACGUG
rnacentral:rRNA from 1 species